rnacentral:misc_RNA from 1 species
ACAUUGGCUUGACAUGCUAAUACAUCGAUUUGCAUAUCAUGAUUUGUGUAUAUAGUGGCCAGACUUUCUCAUUAUUCAUUGUACAUUAUACUCUAAAGUUCCAUUUGUUUCACGAAAAAUAAUUCAUAUGUGAAAAAUAUUUUUCAUGGAAAUCAUUUUCUCAGAAAAUGUUUAUAAAAAUAUUUCCGUUGUUUGGUAUAACAUUCAAAAUCAGUUGGAAAAUAUUUUUUAAUGUUUAGAAAAUCAUUUAGAAAGUGAAGUUGGGAAAAUGACUUCCUGUUUUGAAAAUGAGAAGUCA